rnacentral:rRNA from 1 species
GAUGAACGCUGGCGGCGUGCUUAACACAUGCAAGUCGAACGAUGAAGCCCAGCUUGCUGGGUGGAUUAGUGGCGAACGGGUGAGUAACACGUGAGUAACCUGCCCUUGACUCUGGGAUAAGCCCGGGAAACUGGGUCUAAUACCGGAUAGGAGCGCCUGUCGCAUGACGGGUGUUGGAAAGAUUUUUCGGUCAUGGAUGGACUCGCGGCCUAUCAGCUUGUUGGUGAGGUAAUGGCUCACCAAGGCGACGACGGGUAGCCGGCCUGAGAGGGUGACCGGCCACACUGGGACUGAGACACGGCCCAGACUCCUACGGGAGGCAGCAGUGGGGAAUAUUGCACAAUGGGCGGAAGCCUGAUGCAGCGACGCCGCGUGAGGGAUGACGGCCUUCGGGUUGUAAACCUCUUUUCAGUAGGGAAGAAAGCGAAAAGGGA